CGGAUAGAUUAUAAUCUCAUUGUCCAGAAACAGUAAUCACCUCAGAUCUUCUCACAGUUUGCUUUCUGAAUCUCCAUGUGAUUCACUGCAUUCACCAGUCACCACCCUUUUAUCAAUAACUUCAUAUUCCUUUCUGAGCUUAUUUUAGGCGAAUAAGCAAAUUUUCUUCACUCUGUGGCUGGUCAAAACCCAAUGUUUUUUCACCUGAAACCAGUUUUGUAAGGACUGCCCCAAAGCUAUUAACAUUUCUCUCAAGGUUCUUGUGUGUAAGUAUUCUUGAUCCAAGUAAACGAAAGUGCUUAGUACUUACUAGUGUUGUUAGUAGUUCUUUGUCUCCUCUUUAUUGCUCCAACUGAGUUAUUUAUACUCAUCCAGAGUCAGAUUAUUCCACUAGCAAUAUCAUUUCUCAUUUCUCUUAUCUCUUUUCACAAAAAGGCUCUCAAUUAGAUAAGGCCAAAGAUCUCAUCAAUCACGAGCAUCUCUGAUACGAUUGAUGUAUCAAGAAGAAUGUGAAUGAGAGAAAGCAAAAGAAGACACGUGCAAGUGAGGAGGCACGUGAGAAGAAACUUGCUUGAAGAAGAAGAUAUUUUUAGGAUCUAAAAAUAUCUUGAACAAACUCAGUUCGAGUAUAAAUAAUGGCUCUGAAUGUUUAGAGAGGUUUAUGUUGUUUGUUGUUGAAUGGUAUGAGAGACUUAAGAGCAGAGCUAGUGAUGUGCUAGUCUCUCUCGUAUGGUGUAUUGAGAGCUGAGCUAGUGAUGUGCUAGUCUCUCUCGUGUUUGGUGUGUUAGUGAGUACUGGUUUGGUUAAGGAAUAAAGGUAUCGAUAUUGAAAACU
rnacentral:sRNA from 1 species